rnacentral:tRNA from 1 species
ACUACAGAAGCUAAUAUUGGAUAGCACUAGCCUUUUAAGCUAGGAAAGAGAGACACCCAACCUCUCCUUAGUG